UCCGGUGGCGAUAGCUACGAGGUUCCACCUGUUCCCAUACCGAACACAGUAGUUAAGCUCGUAAACGCCAAAAGUACUUGGGUGGAAACGCCCUGGGAGGAUAGGAAGUUGCCGGUU
rnacentral:rRNA from 1 species